GUGGGGAAUAUUGCACAAUGGAGGGAACUCUGAUGCAGCAACGCCGCGUGAAGGAAGAAGGUUUUCGGAUCGUAAACUUCUAUCAACAGGGACGAAAAAAAUGACGGUACCUGAAUAAGAAGCCCCGGCUAACUACGUGCCAGCAGCCGCGGUAAUACGUAGGGGGCAAGCGUUAUCCGGAAUUACUGGGUGUAAAGGGAGAGUAGGCGGCAUGACAAGCAAGAUGUGAAAGCCCGGGGCUUAACCGCGGGACUGCAUAAUGAACUGUCAGGCUAGAGUACAGGAGAGGUAAGCGGAAUUCCUAGUGUAGCGGUGAAAUGCGUAGAUAUUAGGAAGAACACCGGUGGCGAAGGCGGCUUACUGGACUGAAACUGACGCUGAGGCUCGAAAGCGUGGGGAGCGAACAGGAUUAGAAACCCUGGUAGUCC
rnacentral:rRNA from 1 species